rnacentral:rRNA from 1 species
UAGUCCACACCGUAAACGAUGGAUACUAGGUGUCGGGAGUGCUUGUCCUCUCGGUGCCGCAGCUAACGCAUUAAGUAUCCCGCCUGGGGACUACGGUCGCAAGAUUAAAACUCAAAGAAAUUGACGGGGGCCCGCACAAGCGGUGGAGUAUGUGGUUUAAUUCGAUGCAACGCGAACAACCUUACCCAGGCUUGACAUCCCGCGCUACCCAGGGAAACUUGGGGUUCUCUUCGGAGACGCGGUGACAGGUGCUGCAUGGCUGUCGUCAGCUCGUGUCGUGAGAUGUUGGGUUAAAGUCCCGCAACGAGCGCAACCCUUGUCGUUAGUUGCCAGCAUUAAAGUUGGGCACUCUAACGAGACCGCUCGCCGACAAGGCAGAGGAAGGUGGGGAUGACGUCAAGUCCGCAUGGCCCUUACGCCUGGGGCUACACACGUACUACAAUGGCCGGUACAGAGCGAUGCAAUGCCGCGAGGUGGAGCUAAAUCGCACAAAAGCCGGUCUCAGUUCGGAUUGGG